rnacentral:rRNA from 1 species
AUUGAACGCUGCGGCAGGCUUAACACAUGCAAGUCGAGCGAGCGGCGGGCGGGCGAGUAAUGCUUAGGAAUCUGCCUAUUAGUGGGGUACAACAUCUCGAAAGGGAUGCUAAUACCGCAUACUAAUAGAUGGGGCUAGGUCCGGUUAGCUAGUUGGUGGGGUAAGGGCCUACCGAGGCGACGAUCUGUAGCGGGUCUGAGAGGAUGAUGCGCCAAACUGGGACUGAGACACUGCCCAGACUCCUACGGUAGGCAGCAGUGGGGAAUAUUGGACAAUUGGGGGAACGCCGAUCCAGUCAUGCCGCGUGUGUGAAGAAGGGCUUAUGGUUGUAAAGUUCUUUAAGCGAGGAGGCGUUACUCGCAGAAUAAGCACCGGCUAACUAUGUGCCAGCAGCCGCGGUAAUAC